AAAGAAGUACCCAAUGAAGGUGCAUCCGAGCUUGGAUGGCAAUGAUAAGAAUAAACAAGUGAAUAAUGCUAAGGUACAUGGUUACCUCCGGCUAGAAUUUUAGAAUGCAUUAAGAACUUUACUCUUUUUGGUAAUUGAAUAUUGUCUUUUUGCAACAUAAUUGAAUGAAUGUUUCAUCUAGGACUUAAAACCACAAAUUGUGAGGAAACCUCCAUUGUACACUUAAAUGUUGGAUUCUAAUAAGUUUUGUUGAUUCAUUUGAUUCAUGCUUUGUCUUUUAUUAUUGUGAAUAUGUGGAAGCAAUUAGAAAUGAUCAAGGCACU
rnacentral:lncRNA from 1 species